ACCCGCUGAACUUAAGCAUAUCAAUAAGCGGAGGAAAAGAAACUAACAAGGAUUCCCCUAGUAACGGCGAGUGAAGCGGGAUGAGCUCAAAUUUAAAAUCUGGCUGGUUUACUAGUCCGAAUUGUAGUUUAAAGAAGCGUUUUCGGUGGCAGCCUGGGUAUAAAUCCUUUGGAACAGGGUAUCAUAGAGGGUGAGAAUCCCGUCUUUGACUCAGUGCAUGCUACUAUGUGAUACGUUUUCAAAGAGUCGAGUUGUUUGGGAAUGCAGCUCAAAAUGGGUGGUAAAUUUCAUCUAAGGCUAAAUAUUGGCGAGAGACCGAUAGCGAACAAGUACCGUGAGGGAAAGAUGAAAAGAACUUUGAAAAGAGAGUUAAACAGUGCGUGAAAUUGUUGAAAGGGAAACGCUUGACACCAGUCAUGCGAGCGGAAAAUCAGUCUUUUGCAGUGGGGAGUUGUGUGGGUUCGGACCGCAAGGCCGGCCUGUGCUGCAUCUCUGCUGUAAGUGAUGCACUUUUUCGUUUGCAGGCCAACAUCAGUUUCUUCUGCUGGACAAAACUCUUGAGAAGGUAGCAGCUUUGGCUGUGUUAUAGCUCUUGAGCGAUACAGUGGAGGGGACUGAGGUUUUCGCAGCGCGUGCUCUCGGGCAAGGCUGAUUGGGUGCUAUGGGAUCGUUCGGUGUACAAUGCAUGCAUUUUGCGCCGUGUCUUUCCUAUACUCGCUCAACUCGGCUCCUCCGCGCUUAGGAUGUUGGCUUAAUGGUUUU
rnacentral:rRNA from 1 species